rnacentral:hammerhead_ribozyme from 1 species
ACUAGUUGACGAGUCCCAAAUAGGACGAAAUGCGCAUCUCGGAU